UGCCCUCGUCAUCCAUUAAUGGAUCAGAAAAGAGAUCAUGUGAGGAAGGAAUCCCUUUAAUGAAAAUUGAAGCACAAGGAUUUCAGAGCAGAAAAAGGGCAGUUACAAUUUAGUAACAGUAAGGCAAGUAUGCAAUGAACUUGUACGGUUAGGUUGACUUAGUCCACAACAUAACAAAAAAACAAAGAGAAUCCAGCAUUAAUUACAUGUCUCAUAUGGC
rnacentral:lncRNA from 1 species